UACGUAGGUGACAAGCGUUGUCCGGAUUUACUGGGCGUAAAGAGCGCGCAGGCGGUCGAUCAAGUCGAGUGUGAAAGCCCCCGGCUCAACUGGGGAGGGUCAUUCGAUACUGAUCGACUCGAAGGCAGGAGAGGGUAGUGGAAUUCCCGGUGUAGUGGUGAAAUGCGUAGAUAUCGGGAGGAACACCAAUGGCGAAGGCAGCACUCUGGGACGUGACUGACGCUGAGACGCGAAAGCGUGGGGAGCGAACAGG
rnacentral:rRNA from 1 species